UUUGGGGGUUUUAAUUAAAAAAUUUUCGAACCGGUCCGAGUUUCUCAAACCAACCGAUUCAUCAAUUUUUGCAAAAUCUGACUGAAUCAAACCUAUUCUCACCAAAUUCCAAAAACUCAUGAAUC